UACGGGGGGGGCAAGCGUUGUUCGGAAUUACUGGGCGUAAAGGGCUCGUAGGUGGCCAACUAAGUCAGACGUGAAAUCCCUCGGCUUAACCGGGGAACUGCGUCUGAUACUGGAUGGCUGGAGUUUGGGAGAGGGAUGCGGAAUUCCAGGUGUAGCGGUGAAAUGCGUAGAUAUCUGGAGGAACACCGGUGGCGAAGGCGGCAUCCUGGACCGGCAUUGACGCUGAGGCGCGAAAGCUAGGGGAGCAAACGGG
rnacentral:rRNA from 1 species